rnacentral:rRNA from 1 species
AUUGAACGCUGGCGGCAUGCUUUACACAUGCAAGUCGAACGGUAACAGGGAGCUUGCUCCGCUGACGAGUGGCGAACGGGUGAGUAAUGCAUCGGAACGUACCCAGUCGUGGGGGAUAACGUAGCGAAAGUUACGCUAAUACCGCAUACGUCCUGAGGGAGAAAGCGGGGGACCGUAAGGCCUCGCGCGAUUGGAGCGGCUGAUGUCGGAUUAGCUAGUUGGUAGGGUAAAGGCCUACCAAGGCGACGAUCCGUAGCGGGUCUGAGAGGAUGAUCCGCCACACUGGGACUGAGACACGGCCCAGACUCCUACGGGAGGCAGCAGUGGGGAAUUUUGGACAAUGGGCGAAAGCCUGAUCCAGCCAUGCCGCGUGAGUGAAGAGGGCCUC